CCACAAUUACUAAUCGUUUUUGUGACGUUUGGUCGCCACUAAUACAUGUUUUUUCAACAAUAUUUUCCAAAAUCUUAUUGUUUCAGUGGCGCCCUAAUUUAUAAAAUUAAUAUACAUGUAUUUUUCUACCAUUUGACAAUCAAUAUUAAAAGCAUCCAAUAUUAUUCAACAAAUACCAAAAAAAAUUCUCAAAUUGAAUUUUAUAGAUACUUCCAUUACCAAAAUGUCAAUUAAUUUGUACUACACAAUAAUUCAUCAUUCGUUGUCAAUGUAUCUUUAUACAUAUGAUAACAAAAAUAAAAACUAAGAUUUAUGGCCUUCAAAUUCCUCCAUUAUCGGCAACAUUUGUGAUUGCCCUCAUUCCUGUUAUUAGGGGGGGGGGGGGGAAUAAGAGAUCAAUUUGACAAUUCUCAUAAUUUUAUUCUAAUAAAAAAAAUGGUAGCCACAAUUGAUUGGAGUGAAAAUUAAAAUUCUACAAAUAAGUUUUCCAAGAGAACUAAGCUCAGAAAUUUGAAACUAUCAAACUGCCCAAGUGCUUCGAAGUGGAACAUCUAGACAACCAAACUCAAAUACCACAAGCAUGAGAAUUUAAAGAGAACUCAAUCCAGGUUCUUGUAUAAAAGCUUCAAGAGUUAAUCAACUUAUUUAAUUAUGCACAAAAUUUGUAAACUACUAAAUAUGAUCAUAAAAAAAGUGCUAAUCAAAAUCUACAACACAAAUAGAAAGAAUGAACUUUAUAACUGGUUCGAAACAGAGCCAAGACUUUCCACCAAAAUUGAGAAAAGAAAGAGAAAUAAACAAAUAAAUAACGGGGCCCAUACUAUCUGGAAGUUGAUUUUAAGAUUGAACAAUAAACUUUAUUCUAGAAAAUCUUAGCUCAAUUCAGCAAAAACCCAAAUAAUGUAUGAAAAGUAAAUAAACACAACUGAUCCCAACUCUGGUACUACACAAAUAAAUUAGCGGGUACUACAAUUAUCAGUUGGUAUAACACACACAUCUUUUUAGCUUUUGCCAAAGUAAAUAAACACAACUGAUCCCAACUCUAUCAAGAUCAAAAAGAAUGAAAAUAAAAAAGAAAAUACAUAAGUGGUUGUGCUAGUAAUACUAACAUAAAAUCGGAAUGAGGGACGAAUACCCCAAGAGCACUAUAAAUAGAGAGCUUUCCAAUCGGAAUACCAAUUCCUGAAACUAUUUUGGAACUUCCGGACAAUUAGUUUCAUGGCAGUGCUAGUAAUACUAACAUAAAAUCGGAAUGAAGGACGAAUACCCCCAAGAGCACUAUAGAAAGAGAGCUUUCCAACCGGAAUAUUAAUUCCUGAAACUAUUUUGGAACUUUCGGCCAACUAUGUUUCGUUCAAUUAGUUUCAUCCAGUUGUUCAAAUAGCACACUAUUAGGCAAUAAAUCUAAUAGUUAGUAUAAUUUAAAAGAUUUAUCUGACAGCCAAGAUUACCAAGUCCUAAUAUUCCCUCUCUAUCAGUAACACUAAUGACUUAGAUACAAAGUUCAUGCACAUGGAAUAAUUGAUGAGAAGCUUGUAAGAUGAAAGUAGUUCUUCAAUAUUAUUGAUGAGAAGCGUAUAAAAUAACCUUUUUCCUUUCCUGAGCAUUGGAAUAAUACGUUAUCAGCAGAAUUUUAGCAACAUAGACAUAAAAUCACCCAUUGGUCCAGUGACAGAGUAGACUCAUCAUGAAAUAACUUUGAAUAGUCAAAUAGUGUUUAAUGAGAUUGUAUUCCCGUAGACUUACUGUCAAAUGAUUUUAAGUGUACAAUGACCAAAAUAGGAGCUUAAAGCAUUUGUUCUAGAGAGCACAAAAGGGGGAAAAUAUGAUAAAAUAAAAAGGAGAACGAGAAAACUAAACAUAUGUUGGACCAUAUGAUGAAGCAGUACAUAAUACAAAAGCGAGAGGCGGGUCAGUCGUGCAUUGACAAAAUGCAUUUCCAAAUAAAAGGAAUGCUUCAUAUCACGCAGGUCAGAUAAAUACACCAAAGGAAGUUAGCACCUCUAACUCUUUUGAUGUUUUGAUGAGUGAACCGGUCAUGGAUGAUACUGGAAAGAGAGUGCAACAGCUUGAAUGUGCGGCAACAUCAAAAACCAGUCAGUCAUUCAAAGACACCAGACAUUACAAAAGAGAAGCAGAAAUCAGAAGCUACAGGUGAUCUGUUGAGAUAUCAACCAGCUGCUGAAAUUGCUGGUUCUAAAUCUACAGCUGGGAAAUAGAUUUCUCAGGUUUUAGAGUGGGAAAAGCAGGCUGCUAACGGCCCUGGUGUUAAGUGUGUUCAAGUUAGGAUUACAGAUAAUCCUGUAGUUGCUGGGCACAUUAAAACUAGACAGGAGCAGGUAGUAACAGAAGGGAAAGAGGAAAAGGCUGGGCAGGUGUUUGCCAAUGUAGGCAGAACUAGUGAAUUACAUCAGAAGUAGGUGCACAAUCUACUACACAUUAUAAUGUGAAUGCUAAUGAUGUUUUGAUGGUUGAGGAUUAGUUAAUACGUGCCAACAUUGAGAAGGAUUCAAAAAAUAAGAAAGGGAAGCUUAUGGUAAUUGAGGAUGAGUGCUAAGUAUCCAGGAACUCUAUUGCACCUGCUACUGUUAAUCUUACUGCAAUUUGUGCUAAAAUUCUGGAAAGCAUGAAUCCUUUGCAAGUUCUUCUUGGGUGUUUGCCUAAUCCAAUGGAAGGACUGUCUCUUCAAGAGGUGAAGGAAAACAAUGACAUGGUAGGGGUUGGUUUGAAUACAUCCCAACAUGAUAUCCCCUCUAAUGAUUUGUUUGAUUGAUCUGGCAACAUGUUACAAGUCUCAAACAACCAACAAACUUUAUCCAUGAUGUUGUCUACAACAAAACAGCCAAAAGGAGGGGCUGAGCACACAAGAGAACAACAUAAAGACACGAUGAGUGAAGACAAGUUAAGUGGUAAACCUGUCCAGAAUUUAAAUGAGCUAUAGGAGCCAGGAGGUAGAAGGUAGAAGGCCGUGUGAUAGCAUCUCUCUCCACCACAGUGAAGGCAAGUCCUUUGUUGUACUGUGAAUCCCAGAACAAGCUAUAUCCAUAUAACUCUGUAAAGAUGACAGCCAAGAAGGACUAAUUAUCGUAUAGUUGACAACUUUACAUAAGAUAUAUUAAUUAUUUUCAAAACCAAACAUCCAUUAAUUAAUAAAUCUAGUCGAAGAAAUCAGUAAUAACUAAAUAGUUUCUUCCGGAGCAAGAAACUAACUUAAUAGAAAUUAAUCUAAAGAAAAAGAAGAUAAUAACACUAUUUCCAACUACACAUUAGAUCCCACUAUUUUAGUUUACAGAUAACUAAGAAUUGCACGAUUAAACAUGGAGCACUAUAAUAUUGUUUUGGAUUAUAGUAGGAAAAGUUAACACAAGCAAUGUUAAGCAAAAGCUAGACAAUUGAAGAAUUAGCCAACAAAUAGUUUGGAUUACCUAGCAACAGUAAAGGUCCUUUGGGAGAUAAGCUAAUCUUCAGUAUUUCUAUCUUCUAAAAACAUAACCUCGACACCUCCAACACCACAUUUAUCCUUCAUGGCAAGAACAAAAUUACCAAAUUGAUAUAUUCUCUCAAUCAAUUCCUCCUCUUUCCGCCAAUACAAGUACCCCCAAUGCCUUUCUCUACUAACAAAACAACAUGCAACAACAAAACAACAAUAACCCACAAAUAAAAAACAAAUAAAUACCCAAAAACUAUGAAAGUUCAUACUUCUGCUACCAAGAAAAGAACCCAACUUUUAUAAUAACACAAAAUUGCUACUCGAUUUUGCUAGAGAAAGAGAUAGCGAGAGACUAGAUGCCGUCAAGACCGCGGACUAUUACUGUAUGAAUUUCUUACCACGGACUAUUACUGUAUGAAUUUCUUUUCACUCCUAUAGAUUUUUAUCUGGGCCAGAGAAAUUUUAGAUGAAAUCUGUAAAAUUAUUGAAAUUAUCAUUUUCGCUAACUGUUUAUACCACUGAAAAGGGAUUUGAGCAUGAGAUUGGAACACGUACCUGAUGUAAUCAAGAUUUCUGAUUAGGGCUUUUGUUUUGCUAUCAGAUUGGUCACAAUUUGUGAUUUGAGCAGUUAAAAUUGAGAGAUUCGAACAGAGAGGAAAUUGAGUGGGAAAUUUUUUUAUAGAGAGACGAGUAAGGAGAAGAAGACUUACAUCAGUCUGUGCUUCUUUUUUCAUUUAAUAAGAGUGGUUUUUCUUAUAAAGAUGCUUAGUAGUGUUAGAGGCAACUUAGUCGCCACAAAAGACCUUCAGCGGCGACUUUAUAAAAGUUGCUACAAAACUCUCAAGCCAAAAUUUCAGUCUUAGUGGGAAAGAAAAAAU
rnacentral:lncRNA from 1 species